rnacentral:lncRNA from 1 species
GACUGUAUUUAGUUGAGAGUCCAUAGGCCUAUCUAGGAUAACUCAAAAAGCCGACUGUAAUUCCAAAAAGCUCCACAAAGCCCAGAGACUCAGACUCAAGUUACUCGGUGAGUUUGUUCGUUCUCUCACGUCUUUGUCUCACCUCUCUCUUUCUGCACUAGUUUCGACCACUGAUGCACACCACCGGAAACGGAAAGAUGUCUUCCUCUCUAUGAGCUCUGAAUAUCCUGUUUUCCGGUCUCUAGUUUCAAGUAAGUUAACCUAAUUCUUGUUGUUUAGUUUUAUUUAAACCCCAAAUUACUUUACUUACUUUAUUAGUUUUGUGAUCUUUUAUAUCCAAGCCGUAAGUUAUAUACCCUAAAGUAUAUGACUUAAUUUUUGGGAUGAAUUCUAGCUUUUCAUUAUUGUGAUAUUAUGUGAUUUUCAAUUUUGUAAACUCUAAAUUAGGCAUGAUUAUCCCUAUAGUUCAUAUAGCUCAUAUGAAUUUACUUGGUCAUAGCUCUAUCUUGUUCCAGUCUUGUUUGCCCAACUUCUAUUUGGAAAAUGAUUGUUUCUGCAUGUAGAACACUUGAAUCUACCAUAUAAACUGCUUUUUUCACCUUUUUUUUUGUUCUAUAGAUGGUUUUCCGUUUGCUUAAUGGUUCGUUUUGACUAAAUCACAUUCUCUAUUGUUUAUGAUGGAUAUUGAUGACAUGUUUGGCCAGUCUUUUUGGAGCGAUGGAUGAACAAAUAUUCUUCUUUUUGUAGGCAGUGAAUAAGCCAUUUGAAUGAGUGUAAAUGACCAUUUUACCCAUUCACUAAGUAACAUUUUCUCAUUAUGCCCUUCUAGAAAACCAUGGAUCUUUACGACAUAUUUGGCAGUCUCUAAAUUUAGAAGACACCUACCUAAACGAAGGCUUCCAAGAAGGCUAUGACACCGGUUUUGCCUUGGGAAAAGACGAUGGGCGUGAAGUUGGAUUAAAAACAGAGUUCAUAAAUGGUGAGGAAUUAGGGUUUUAUAGAGGGUGCAUCGAUGUUUGGACCUCUGUGAUUCGAGUUGAACCCACGUGCUUCUCGAAAAGUGCUCAAAAGAAGAUUAAAGAGAUGGAUGAAUUGGUGUCCAAGUAUCCGAUUUUGGACCCUGAAAACAAGAAUGUCACACAUAUUAUGGGAUUAUUGAGGGUGAAAUUUCGGGCUAUUUGUGCAGCAUUGAAUAUGAAGUUGGAGUAUAAAGGGUACCCGAAAGAAAACGACAUUCUGUUUUGAGGUAUGUAAAUCAAUAAUUAAUGGGGAAUGUUUUUGGAUGGAAUGGAAUCCAUCAAAGGAAUUGGAAUCCGAGGGAAUUGAUGAAGGAACUGUUAUGAUUGGUCCUAAAUCUUGUUAAAAACCAAUUCCUCCUUUCAAGAUUCUUUUAGAAAGUUAUUUUUGGUUUUGUUUGCAAUCAUUUUGAAUCAGAAGUAACAAACCAUAUUUUUUUUCUAUCAAAUCCUGUUUGAAUAAAUAAUGUUUAAAUUAUUUGAAAAGAUGAUGAGAAGGAAGUGAAAUUUAUAUAAAAAAAUUAAAAUUUAAUGAGGAAAUCUUUUGUCUAUGAUUCUAAUUAUUAGUUAAUUCCAUGAAAUUAGCAGAUGAGAUCCAACUACAACUGUUUUGUUGGAUGAAGCACAGGUUUCAGAUCCUCUCAUCAUAGCUAGUUCUGUGAAAAGGUUUAAUAAUUUGCUCAAUGUUAUCUUGUUUAAAUGGUAAUCAAAUUCUCCAUGGAGAUGUUAAAGCUAACCACUUUUUUUCUGCAAUGUUUCUACAUGUUCUACCUGAGUAAUUUUUUGAAAAUUUAAAUAUGAUAUAUAUAACUUGAUAGUUCCCUUUUUUCAUUUCAGUGUUGGAAUUCUAGAAGAGUUGUGAGAUGAAGAUAAGGAACUCUUUCCAGUUGAAUGUAUCAUAGAGAUGAAGAAAGGAUCCAUCUUCUCUUAAUGUCAAACAUAGCAUUGGUUGCGCCUUAUGAGCCAUUAUACUUGAAAAUUUGUGUAAAAAUUAAAAGCUCUUAUUCUUAGCUGCUGUUUCUGUUUUCUUCUUUCAAAUCUCACUUUGCAUUUUGUGGUCCCAUUCCCAUCUUGUAGAUCUAGGUAUGAUUCCUGCCUGGUAUCAAGGACAUAUCUUUACCCAUUUUGUUCCUCUGUUUUUUAUUUCUUAAUUUUGUAAGCGUUUGUUACACUUUGGAUAGUAUUGAUAAACAACUAUGAAGUCUAGUUGAUUUGUAUGUAUAGUCAUGUGCUAAUUUAUCAACAUUAACAAGAAAGAGAUCAGGUUCAUGAUUCUCCUGACUGUUCAUAAGUAUUUUUUAGAGUUUUGUUUAUAAGUCCUUAUUUGAUUAGGGUAAGUUUUCUUCUUUUUAUACACAAUAAUGUUUCUAGCUUUUAGGAUUAGUUGAUUGUUGGAGAAAUUAUAUUCAUUGUGACCAUUAAAAGAGCAAAGGUCUUUUGUUGUUCUAUCUUACUAGUCAUUAUUUCCAUCAUCC